rnacentral:rRNA from 1 species
UACGUAGGGGGCUAGCGUUGUCCGGAAUCAUUGGGCGUAAAGAGCGUGUAGGCGGCUCGGUAAGUCCGCUGUGAAAGUCCAGGGCUCAACCCUGGAAUGCCAGUGGAAACUGUCGAGCUAGAGUCCGGAAGAGGCGAGUGGAAUUCCUGGUGUAGCGGUGAAAUGCGCAGAUAUCAGGAGGAACACCGAUGGCGAAGGCAGAUCUCUGGGCCGUAACUGACGCUGAGGAGCGAAAGCGUGGGGAGCGAACAGG